GACGAACGCUGGCGGCGUGCUUAACACAUGCAAGUCGAGCGAGAAACUUCGGCUUCUAGCGGCGGACGGGUGAGUAACACGUGGGCAACCUGCCUCACAAUGGGGGAUAGCCUUCCGAAAGGAAGAUUAAUACCGCAUAACACAAAGGAAACGCAUGUUUCUUUUGCCAAAGAAUUUCGUUGUGAGAUGGGCCCGCGGCGCAUUAGCUUGUUGGUGAGGUAACGGCUCACCAAGGCGACGAUGCGUAGCCGACCUGAGAGGGUGAUCGGCCACAUUGGAACUGAGACACGGUCCAGACUCCUACGGGAGGCAGCAGUGGGGAAUAUUGCACAAUGGAGGAAACUUUGAUGCAGCAACGCCGCGUGAGUGAUGAAGGUCUUCGGAUUGUAAAGCUCUGUCUUCUGGGACGAUAAUGACGGUACCAGAGGAGGAAGCCACGGCUAACUACGUGCCAGCCGCCGCCGUAA
rnacentral:rRNA from 1 species